rnacentral:lncRNA from 1 species
AUGUGUUACCACAGCUUUGCUCAUACUUGAUAGCGUUAAUUUUUACGUUUUAGUCACUCUCUUGGAUAAGUAGUGGAAUCUCAUUGUGUUUUCACGUAGACAGAUGAAUUUGAGUAUCUAUGCUUGGUUGCUUGUUUUACUGAGACAGGUUUCCUUCCACUCUACCUAAGACUGGCUUUAAACUUUAAGCCAUCUUCCUGUCAAUACUCCCCAGGUGCUUAUGUGAUGAGAUUACAGGUGUGUGUGACCCUGUCUGGCACGUUUGCUUUAAAGUAACAUCAUAGAUGACUGUUUAAGACAGUAACGUGCCUGUGAAGGUUUUCCUCAUGUCACUGAGAAGUGUCCAAGGCUGAGCCAUUCAUCUGUGGUCAAACAUCUGUUUUCGACAUGGCUUACAUAAUGUUAAAGGCUUUUCAACCCCACACACCACACGUUCAUUUAUUCCUUGAUCAUUGAGUUGCUAGUUUUUGCUAGAGACUGAGAUUAAAAAGUAGGGAUACGAGUAUGAAUAAAACAUAUCCAUUCUUGGGUCCCGUCUGGCUGUGCUGUUUCUAGAUGUUGUGGAACUCUUUGGAGGUGGUAUCUGGAUGGAGGAAGUGGAUUGUAACCCAGCCUUGCUUCCUACUAGGGCUUCCUGUUUCCUGAUCUACAGAUGUGUGAGCAAGUUGCUGGUGGCCAUGGAGCCACCUGUUGCUCUACCCUCCGCCUUCCUGAAAUGAUAAAUUGUGUUCCCUUAAACCCUGAACCAGGAUGAAUUCUUUUUCCUUUAAACUGCUGUUUGUGUGCAGGUGUACAUCCAUGUAUGUGAUGCAUGUGGAGAUGAGGGAUCUAUUCUUCUCUACCUUAUGUAUGGAGGCAGUGUCUCACACUGGAACCCGUAGCUCAUUAUUGGCUAGCAGAGCUAGCUAGCUUACUCUGGGGAUCCCAUUUCCCCCUCCUCUCACCAGCUGCUUGUGUUGCCUCUUGUCAGGUAAUUGGUCACAGCACCAGGAAAAUAACCAACGCAUAACUUAAGUGCCCUAGAAAAACAGAUUGGAGAACUGUUUUACUCAAUUUAUUCCUGGUUUUGUAGUUACAUUUAUGCAAGACGAAUACUCAGGUUGAUGGAUUGACCGGUUCUACACAAUAGCUUAUGCUGCUGCUUCAGGUGAUGGAUGGAGACUCAGCAGUUGUAUUUAUUCUGAAUCUCUCAAUGAACCAGUGUGUGGUAAAUGGUCUCUGUAGCCUCAUGAAAGCACUGACCAGAGAUACCGAACCCCAUGAAUUCUCAGGGCCCUUGAGUGAAAUGGUAUAAUGUUUGCACAGACCCUAGACCAGUGGUUCUUAACAUUUCUUUUCUUUUUCUAAAGACUUAUUUAUUUUAUGUAUGUGAGUACCCUUUUACUCUCUUCAGAGACACUAGAAGAGGGAGUUGGAUCCUGUUAUAUAUAGAUGGUUGUGAGCCAUCAUGUGGUUGCUGGGAAUUGAACUCAGGACCUCUGGAAGAGCAGCAGUCAGUGCUCUUAACUGUUGAGCCAUCCCUCCAGCCCCUGGUUCUUAACUUUUCUAAUGCUGUGACCCUUUAAUACAGUUCCUCAUGUUGUGGUAACCAUGAAAUUAAUUUGUUUCUCUCUCAUAACUGUAAUUCUGCUACUCUUAUGAAUCAUAAUGUAAGUAGCUGUGGUGUAGGAUAUCUUAUAUGUGGUCUCCAAAGGGGUCACAACCCACAGGUUAAGAAUCUCUGCCCCAGAAAAUUAUCUCCUAUGCUUUCAAUCAUUUCUCUAUAACUUACCAUGUACAACACAGUAUAAAACUAUUAGCUAAGCAAUAGCAUCACUGUAGCAUUUAGAGAUGGAUGGUAAGAAAAGAGUCAGUACACGUUUCAUAGCCCCAUGUUUUUCUGAACUAUUUUUAACUCCCGGUUGGUUGGAUCCAAGACCAAGAACCUGAGGUAACUGUGAAUCUGUCGUUGCCUUCCCUUUGUCUCAGUUCCUUAAUUGUGAGUAUAAAUUCAUGGUCUGAGGCUUGUCAGUGGUAGCUUCAUCAAGCAUUGAGGCACAUAACUCUAUCAUUUAAGCUAUAGUCAGUUCAAGGUUAUCCUGGUCUACAUAGUCAGUUUCAGGACAGCCAGGGCUAUGUGGGGAAACCCUAUC